GAUGAACGCUGGCGGCGUGCUUAACACAUGCAAGUCGAGCGAACAGAUGAGGAGCUUGUUCCUCGGUCGAUUGCCGCAGGGGUGUGAGUAACAGGUGGAUAACCUCCUUAUCAGACUGGGAUAUCUUCGGGAAACCGGAUCUAAUACCGGAUAAUAUAUUGAACCGCAUGGUUCAAUAGUAAAAUACGGUGUUGCGGUCACUUAUAGAUGGAUCUGCGCCGCAGUAGCUAGUUGGUAAGGUAACGGCUUACCAAGGCUACGAUGCGUAGCCGACCUGAGAGGGUGAUCGGCGACACGGGAACGGGGACGGGGUCCAGACUCCUAAGGGAGGCACCAGUAGAGAAUCUGCCGCAGUGGGCGAAAGCCUGACGGAGAAAAGGGGCGUGAGUGAUAGAGGUCUUCGGAGCGUGAAACUGGGUUAUUAGGGGAGAACAAAUGUGUAAGUAACUGUAGACGUAUUGACGGUAACUAAUCAGAAAGCCCCGGCUAACUACGUG
rnacentral:rRNA from 1 species